ACAGUCCACGGGGUCGCAAAGAGUCGGACACGACUGAGUGGCUUCACUUUCAUUUUUCUUUUACUUUCCAGGUUACAAGCUAUAAAGACAAGGUAGUGGUUGAACCUGGAAUCAUUUAGGGAGCAAAGGAAUGACUCGGAAGACUUACUUCCCCGAGGGAGAGAGGGCUCCCUUGCUUUUGCCAAGCAGGCACGUGUGAGACUUGGAGUAAGAUACUGCCUGGCAGUGAGCAGCAAAAAUGCACGCAGACUUCCCCGAUGGUUUGGAGGCAAAGACUCCACACUCCCAAUGCAGGGGGCCAGGGGUUGACCCCUGGACAAGGAACUAGAUCCCAGAUGCUGCAACCAAGCCCCAAACAAAUAAAUGCUGAAAAAAAUACAUGCAACUCGUGGACAGACUGGUUCCAGGUAUCAACUAAAAAAAGUGUACAAGGAGGUGUGUAUCUGUUGUGAAUUCUUCUCUGGUGUUUGAUAAGAUACGACAUGUCAAGGAAGACUUUUCCACAUUCAGAAUACGCAUGAGGUUUUUAUCCA
rnacentral:lncRNA from 1 species